GACGAACGCUGGCGGCGUGCUUAACACAUGCAAGUCGAACGGAAAGGCCUCUUUCGGGGGGUACUCGAGUGGCGAACGGGUGAGUAACACGUGAGUAACCUGCCCUUGACUUUGGGAUAACUUCAGGAAACUGGGGCUAAUACCGGAUAGGAGCUCCUGCUGCAUGGUGGGGGUUGGAAAGUUUCGGCGGUUGGGGGUGGACUCGCGGCUUAUCAGCUUGUUGGUGGGGGAGUGGCUUACCAAGGCUUUGACGGGUAGCCGGCCUGAGAGGGUGACCGGCCACAUUGGGACUGAGAUACGGCCCAGACUCCUACGGGAGGCAGCAGUGGGGAAUAUUGCACAAUGGGUGGAAGCCUGAUGCAGCAACGCCGUGUGCGGGAUGACGGCCUUCGGGUUGUAAACCGCUUUCGCUCAUGACGAAGCUUUGUGUGACGGUAGUGGGUAAAGAAGCACCGGCUAACUACGUG
rnacentral:rRNA from 1 species